UACAAUCUUUAAUCAUGUAGAAUCUUCUCAACUAUUCGAUAUCAUGUUCAUAUUUCAUAUCCUUAGCUAACUCUUAAUAUUUUUUCAUAUCUCUGAAAUAUAUAAUCAACUCUCUUUUCUCUAGCUACUAAUGGAUCUAAUUAAGUUAUGUAAUUAUGUGUGACAUAUAUAUGCCUCUUCCCUAGCUGUGAAAUCUUAUUAAUUAUCACCAGCUGCUUCCAUUUUCUCUCAAAUUAUCAUCAAACUCUGCAUGACUACUUUUUUCUCUGGGUAUUUUAUUGUUCAUAUAUUUUGUUCUAGCGAUUUGUGACGUGUUUACUUGUGAUAUGUAAAUAUCAACUUAAUUCGUAGUAGGCUUUCGCCUGGCAAUCUUCAUACACUUUGCAAACAGUAGUUAUGUAGCUUUUAUCUUAUUUUGGUUAAACAGAGGAGUCAAGAUAGAAAGGGCGAGGAGCUAGGCCUUGAAUUAGCUUAGAUUGAUUCCAUCAUGGAUACAAAAGCCAUCCGAGAUAUAUAUGGUUUGGUUGUCUUUCAUUCAAUUGAUUUUGUUUUAGAUUUGAAAUCAAACUAAUUUGAUUCCAACCAGUUUAAGUUAUAUCUUAAUAGUUUUUAACAUAACUAAUAGGGGUUGUGUUUCCUACAUCUGUUUCUGUUGAUGGUAUAAUUUUUUUCUUUGGUGGUCUUCCUUGAUCAUAUGAGCAGAUGAUGGUUUUGAAGUCACUUUCAAAGCUUUUGCUGAGUUCUUUCAUGGCCAUGUCUUUGUUAACGAAAAAUGUAAACUUUUUUGUCUCAUUCCAUGAAUUUCUUGCUACAAUGUUUUAGAUAUUUAAAUGUUUUUCCAGAACCUCAAUAGAUUUUGACACGAAGGUAAAUGUGAAGCAGCAUCAUGCGAUUCUUUUGUUUUUGUUAUUUAUUUCAGGCAUUAGACUAUAGUUCCCUGUUGAAAGAAAAUGGGCUUUUGGCCUUCACGUACAGUGGAUGGGAAAAAGUAGGAAUUAAUCAAGAUUCUUAAAGAGAGCUUGCUCGGAGUUGGAAAGUGGUGGCCAUGGCUUUCAGGCAGGAGGAGGCAUAUUCUUCACCGCUGUGAGGAAAGUGAUUUUCGCACUACAUUUGUGCUGCUUGCAACGAUUGCAUUUGCAGAACUUUUCUGAUGAGACUCUAGAGUGCUCAUGUUUUGAAGCUUAAAACAUGUUCGUUCUUUGUUAUCUUUGAUACACAAUCUCUUAUGUAGAAGAAAACGCUUUAUAUAGUCUCCCAAGCUAUGUGAUUUCGGA